GUGGAGGCCUUCGGGGUUCGGCAAGAGCAGUUCUGUGAGCUGGCGGAGCCUGGCGUCUGCCUGCGUGACGUGGAGGAACCGCAGGCGGCGACCGCGGACAGAAUGAUUUUUCAUGGGCCGAUCUGCUGAAUUCAGCCUAGGAGCUGAGACCAACAUCUGAGUCUCUUCAGCACACAAGUUUGAAAGAAGUCCUAGCAACUUCAAGCUCAGAACUACGGGUGGCAGCAGCUCCCUCUUGACGUCGAAGCCUCCCAUUCCAGAGAGAGUCAAGGCCUGGAUCAAACAAAGCCCACAAGCACCGAUGACUGAGCUGCUGACUACCCCCAGCAUCUCCAACUCAACCUCCUCUUUCUGCC
rnacentral:lncRNA from 1 species